AUUGAACGCUGGCGGCAGGCCUAACACAUGCAAGUCGAACGAGUGGCGGACGGGUGAGUAAUGUAUGGGAAACUGCCUGAUGGAGGGGGAUAACUACUGGAAACGGUAGCUAAUACCGCAUACCAUCAGAUGUGCCCAGAUGGGAUUCGCUAGUUGGUGGGGUAACGGCUCACAAAUGCGCAGAUCCCUAGCUGGUCUGAGAGGAGGACCAGCCACACUGGACUGUAUCCACGGGCCAGACUCCUACGAGAGGCAGCAGUGGGGAAUAUUGCACAAGGGUCGCAAGCCUGAUGCAGCCAUGCCGCGUGUAUGAAGAAGGCCUGCGGGUUGUAAAGUACUUGCAGCGGGGAGGCGUUACCCGCAGAAGAAGCACCGGCUAACUCCGUGCCAGCAGCCGCGGUAAUUC
rnacentral:rRNA from 1 species